UUUUUUUUAGGGUUUUUUUUUUUGUUUGUUUCUCUCUUUUUGACCCUCCAGUCUGUAAAAAUCUAAGAUGUUUGUUUUAUUUAUUUUUUUGUUGUUGUUUUGUUUCUUUUUGACCCUCCAGUCUCUGUGAAAAUCUGAGAUCUGUACUUGUCAUGGUUUUUUGUGUCCUGUUAUUCUGUACGAGGUUUUUAUGCCUCCCUUUGGCUGCACAUGUAUGUCUCUGCUUUUCCCCUAAACAUGACGGAGGUGUCGAGCCGUGGCGUUGGAUGUGCUGACCACCACCAGGUCCUGGGAGGAUCUGAUGCUGCCCCACUUCGAUGAGCUGCUCCUCCAUCCAGACUGGGAAGUUUUUAAGAGUCACCGUCAAGCUGAAGGUUUCUGAAGUUCUCUUUUAAUGAUUUUGAGAAACUUUUCAAAGUUCUUGUAGUUGUUUUCACCGAGGUCCAAACACUCCAGCUUUUCUGGGGGUUUGUAGACGCCUAAGAGAAAAUUGAUUUUAAAUCUGUCUGUUGAAUCUUUUAAGUCUGUUUCCAAUGUAGUGACCCAUCUUUCUGCUUCUCCAAAAUCUAUCUUGUGUUGUUACAGUCUACAUCCAAGAAGACCCUGGCAGACCCCAUCACCUGCUGGACUCUGAGCUCCUGCAUACUGGGUUACAGGUGAGCAUGGAGUACAGAUUCCACCACCUACAAAAAAAAACUGGUACAGCAGUUUUAUUUGAUGCAUCCAGAUUUCCUAACCCCUGCCAAUUUUAAUCUCUCCCAAACACCAGUGCUUUGCCCUCUUUGAGGGACGGAUCUUCUUCAUUCUGGACCCCUUUAACUGAAGUCUGCACCAGCACAGAAACCUGCCUCUGGACACCAUCAGACUCUACCAGAUGCCGUGGGCACCAUCCCAGAGAAACCGGUACAUAAAACAGAGAAUGAUUCACUUAUAGGUUAAAAACUGUGCCGGUCUAAAGAAUAAAUUUGUCCUUUUGUUUUAGGACUACACCGAGACGUCGAUGACCCUCUCUUGCUCCAGGAACCGGCUGAAGAAUGAAGACAAAGACUUGGUCCCCUGUUUAGAGGUAAGUCAAUCUUUGCAAGUGGUCUUGCUUAUUUCAGUCAAAGUUUUAUGGUGAUAAAUUGAUGUUAACAGUCCACUAACUGGAUCUGAUCCCUGUCUGCCUUCUGUAGUCACCACCCUGCAGGCGGACUUCCUGUCUCACUGUGAGCCCGUAGACCUUCAACCUCGUCCAGAAAACCCUUACUCAGGACAUGGUGAGUGCGCCUUUCUCUUUCAGGCUCUACUUUGAGGAGCACACAUGGGCAGCUUUCUUAAAUCCUUCUAACAGAUGAGUCCGUUAAGAUGAUGAUAGUUGGAUGUUUUUACUCGAUGGGCAUAGAUAAACCCCCACAACCCAUGAAGAGUGCAAGCUUUGCUGUGUCACUGUCACUUUAUAGAUCUCCUCCACCUUUAUAUCGCUGACAUUAUCAGUAUUAUUGACAUUAUAGGAUUAUCACUGAGACCUUUUCUGACUGAUAGAAAACUAAAUGAAAACGAGGCAGAAUAUUCACUCAUGACAGUUUUCUUCAUUUACAGGAGGAUACUCGAGUCUCGACUGAGGACCCAGUGAUGAAGAUGGAUGACCUGUCUGUGACACAAGGGUCAUAGAGGAUAGUUCUGUACUGAUGAAUCUAUUAUAAAUUAUUCAUCUGUUUGACCAGAUGAUGUGUUGUUAAACUUGCUAACAUUUGAGUUUCUUUGGUGCAAACCUGUAAGAUCUACAGCUAGUAGAGUCUUCUUACAAUUGUAACCAGGUGGUUUUUGUGUUGUACUGAAUUUGCUUUCUCAUUAUAUUUGUAAAACUAAAUGUUUAAUCUGAGCUUCAUUUAUGGCUUAAACUUUGUUAAAUGGAGGCUGAAACUGUGACAGCAUGUAGAGAGCUUUUUAUCCACUGGGGUUUUUUUUCCUUCAAUAUUUUUCCCCAGCUGGUUUUUCAUCUCUACCUCCACCAAACUCACUCUGUACACAAAGCUUGUCUUAAAUGUCAUCUUUUUGGAUGCACAUAUUCUAUUUUGCUCAUAUUGCUUUGUCUUUAUUUUGUUCAUUUUUCUGUCAUGCUUUAUUCCUCUCUCUGCUCCGUGUUUUUUUGCAUUUGUAUUACACAUAUAACUAACUUUUCACAUAAUUUGUCUGAGUCAAUAACUCUCUGACAGUGAAAUACCGUGAUUGUGUUUGGUAAAACUUGUCAACUUGACUCUGUUUUUAAAUAAAGUUUUGUUUAAAUGGAAUCAAAAACUUUUCUCUGGAGGUCAGUUUUUUAUUUUGAUAACAUGCACAGUAGGUUAGAAAGUUUUAAAAUCAGAC
rnacentral:lncRNA from 1 species